CGGGUGACUAGGAAAAAGUUAAUACUUAAGUAGGAGAUAGUGCCAUUUUUUGCAACAACUGGGUACCACCAAGUUUUACAAACAAAAUUUUUAAAGAUAGCCGAGAGUUUCUGCAGCUCAGAUGAAGAUUGAUUGUGAGUAAAUAGUUAGAAAGACCACACAGGUGUAAAGUUAAAGGGCAAUGUGUCAGGAUUUUUAUAGGUGGCGCUGAAAGAAAUGGUGCCCAAUAGUGGCAUAAUCUUAGUGUGCUCCAAUUUCCAACAUGAAGUCAUGACAAAAGUAAGGAGUUAACACUACUUGUGCUGUUUCUGAACUUCCAC